rnacentral:rRNA from 1 species
CACCGCGGUUAAACGAGAGGCCCCAGUUAAUGGUGCUACGGCGUAAAGGGUGGUUAAGGAUUAUAAAUUAAAUAAAGCCAAAUGGCCCUUUGGCCGUCAUACGCUUCUAGGUGUCCGAAGCCCAACUCCACGAAAGUAGCUUUAACAAAAUCAACCUGACCCCACGAAAGCUGAGAAA